rnacentral:rRNA from 1 species
GCUAGGAUUCUAACCCUAUACCGUUAUCCGGUUAGGGGACAGUUUCAGGUGGUCAGUUUGACUGGGGCGGUCGCCUCCCAAAAGGUAACGGAGGCGUGCAAAGGUUUCCUCAGGCUGGUCGGAAAUCAGUCGUAGAGUGUAAAGGCAUAAGGAAGCUUGAUUGUGAGACCUACAAGUCGAACAAAGACGAAAGUCGGCCUUAGUGAUCCGACGGUUCCGAGUGGAAGGGCCGUCGCUCAACGGAUAAAAGUUACUCUAGGGAUAACAGGCUGAA